GAGGUGGCUCCUACGUGUUCAAGAGGUGGUUCCCACCAAACCCGUUGGUGUAGCACUUUAUCCCGCAUAGCACUUAAUUCUCACACUUCCGGCUGGUAUUCGGCUUUGAUACCAAUUGCAACGACCCGACCCAAUAGCAACAAUAACUCGUUGGGCCCAAACCACCGGCCCAAAAUGCUUAAGCCCAGUUAUUACUAUUAGCAUGUAGGUCUCAUAUAAACUGAUCAGAAUCAGUAUCCCAUCCGAUGUGGGACUAUUGAGGGCUUUACAGAGCGCUUCCCCAUCCUUUUCGGAUGGAUUUGUAGUGUGGUUGAUUUG
rnacentral:lncRNA from 1 species